AUUGAACGCUGGCGGCAGGCCUAACACAUGCAAGUCGAACGGUAACAGGAAGAAGCUUGCUUCUUUGCUGACGAGUGGCGGACGGGUGAGUAAUGUCUGGGAAACUGCCUGAUGGAGGGGGAUAACUACUGGAAACGGUAGCUAAUACCGCAUAACGUCGCAAGACCAAAGAGGGGGACCUUCGGGCCUCUUGCCAUCGGAUGUGCCCAGAUGGGAUUAGCUAGUAGGUGGGGUAACGGCUCACCUAGGCGACGAUCCCUAGCUGGUCUGAGAGGAUGACCAGCCACACUGGAACUGAGACACGGUCCAGACUCCUACGGGAGGCAGCAGUGGGGAAUAUUGCACAAUGGGCGCAAGCCUGAUGCAGCCAUGCCGCGUGUAUGAAGAAGGCCUUCGGGUUGUAAAGUACUUUCAGCGGGGAGGAAGGGAGUAAAGUUAAGACCUUUGCUCAUUGACGUUACCCGCAGAAGAAGCACCGGCUAACUCCGU
rnacentral:rRNA from 1 species